rnacentral:rRNA from 1 species
AUUGAACGCUGGCGGCAUGCCUUACACAUGCAAGUCGAACGGCAGCACGGGGGCAACCCUGGUGGCGAGUGGCGAACGGGUGAGUAAUGCAUCGGAACGUGCCCAAUAGUGGGGGAUAACCCGGCGAAAGCCGGGCUAAUACCGCAUACGACCUACGGGUGAAAGCGGGGGACCGUAAGGCCUCGCGCGAUUGGAGCGGCCGAUGUCUGAUUAGCUAGUUGGUGGGGUAAAGGCUCACCAAGGCGACGAUCAGUAGCGGGUCUGAGAGGAUGAUCCGCCACACUGGGACUGAGACACGGCCCAGACUCCUACGGGUGGCUG